AAAGGCUCCUGUUUUCCUGCAACUGCCCCUAAAGAUUUUGUCACGCUGCCAGAGUGAAAAAGAACAUGAAGAAUAUGCCUGUGUGUACGCCAGGUUUUGAGCUAUGUGCUAGAUCUCCUUUAUGAAUGGCAGUCGGGCUGAGGUAGAUGUGUGGGGAUGUCAUCAAACAGAGGCCAACUUCUGUAAAAGAAAUCACAAUGUUGGAUGAGACGUGGCCUCCUACAUUCGUGUUUACAUCAUGCUUCUCAGAGGUGGCGGUAGCAGCAUGAGUGAGCCUGUGAGUACUCUGAGACAGAGCUUUCAGUGUCCUGGUGAAUUACACAUUAGGUAUCUGAAAACCUGAAAGAGAAUGACUAAACACAGGAUAAUUUUAAGCCAUCAUUUUCAUGUUGGCCCUGAAGGGGUGCCGCCUCUAUUUGUACCUGGUACGCACCUGGCAGCCGGUUGGCCAUACUGAGCUGUUACCAGCAAGAGCAUUCCAGUGGUAAACCUCACCCUACACAGGAUUCUGAACACAUUCAUGUCCAGAAAGGAGGGCCUGUCUCCGAAGGAACAUUUUGUUUCCGCUUGGCCUUGAAAGGCUUCAAAAAGUAAACACAUUACAAACCAUAUGCCGGCAUAGAUGUAGAAAGAAAAAAAAUCUUUUAUUCCUUCCCCGUUACACACGUGGACACAGAACAUUUUAUUUAAACGGCAUAGACUUGAAAUUACGUGUCACACUUACGUGUAAGGUAUACAGAAAGGAAACUAGAAGAAAAGUUAGAUUGUUAGCAGUAAUAAUAGCUUUGGAGACUAGUUGGUCCAGCGCUACGUUCAGAUGAAAAAUGGAAGGCCAGAGGCUAACAGAAUUGCUCAGCGACACAAAUGAAAGUUGGCAAUUCAGUAUUUUGCCCGUGUUAGUAUACACAGCAGUUCCCAUGUGUCACUGAUGUCACAGACCAAAGAAUCUCAUGAAUUUCUUUAAAUUCAAUGUACCAGGCAUCAGAUACCAGUUAAUCACAGUUCUCACUGACCUACUGCAUUCUGGGAAGAGAGAGGAACCUAUAUUUUUUUCUUGUGAUAGGGAAUUUUAAUUCUAAGAAAGUCCAAUUGCCAGCAGUUAAUUUCUAGCCCUCCUUUAAAGUGUACUUCUUCAGACACUCAGGACCUACUAGAUUUCCCUAAGUUUCAACAAGCAAAACCAUUGAGGAUCUUUUCUUAUAUUCAUGGGUUACCUGCCUCUCUCUUGGUGGCUUGGUGGUAUGUCCUUUGUCUAUUUAAGGGAAGUAGGGUGGGGAGGGUUGGCCUUUAAACUUUUAACUCUCCAAAUAUUCCAGUUAUGCUUGUCUGUGAUACAGGUUGUAAUUUUUUCCUCCUAGUUUGUCAGUUGACUUUGCUGCUCCUGUUUUUUCCUAUCUUCCAUGAUUUUAAAGAAAACUUCAAGUUGAUGUGCAGUUCAUUCUGUAUGUUUUCAAGAACUGCUUAUUGUCUGGUGUUUGGGAACUUGACCUGAUAGCUUUCCAUUUCAUCAUGACUCAUACCGGGAUUUUCUCCUCUGUUGUACCCGGAGGACGAUUCCAUCCACAUCAGCACUGCACCUGCUCCUAGAUGCCCUGGAACAUUCAGCUGCCACCUGCACGGCCAAGUGCAGGACCCCCAGGAGCACCACCGGACCCAUCUCUUACACAGGCUGACCGAUUUCUCCUGGUGUUCAGAGUCUGUUUUUGUCUAGCACCAUUUGAAAUCGGUUAUGAUGUAGGGGGAAAAGCAGCAGCCUCGAAGCCUCAUGCCAACUCUGGUGAGCGGCCGCCUGUGGUUUCUUAGAAGAAGGAUGGGCAGAGAGUGGGGAAGGACGAUCUGGCACUUUGUUCACUAACUUCUUUAGCUGCAUCUAUGAUACCUUAUUGCAGAGGUAAGAGAGAACAUAAUGUAUUUUUUAAAAAACAAAUGGCUACAAUGUAUCUGAUAUCCUGGGUUGCAUUUUGCUGAAAUGUGCUGUAUGUGCUAUAAAUGGUGCUGUUGGAUUAUCUUUCUGUGCAGAGUCUAUUCCUGCAUCCUGACCUGAAUAAAUAUUUUACUGUAAUCAAUUAGUCACAUCUUUGUUUUUCUUCUGUCAUUUCCCAUUCAUGAAAAGGCGACUUGCGAUGCAGAUUUUACCUACUUCCUGAGACGUUAUGGAAGAUUACGCAUACACACAUUAAAAACAAAGCCAGCCCAAUAAGACAAGACUGCAAUUCUGUGAGCCAAGAAACAAAAGGAGAGAAAAGAUCACAGAAAAGAGAAAUGCUCAAGCCUGGGUGGAGGGAUGCUCCUUCCUGAUGGGGAAACUGAGUCUUGCAAAUCCCAUGGAUGUUCGUGCCAGGCCACCAAGGGGCAUUCUCUGGGUGGCAGCCACAAGCACCAAAGCCUCGGAUGUGGGCACAAGCUCCCUUCUGAAAGAUACCAGCAGCUGAGAGCCAGGCGGAGGGACAACAGGAAGAUGGGGCCCUCCAGCCUUCAUGGGCUUUGAAGAGUAUUUCAGUUGCCUGCUAGGUGUGUAUGACAUUAGAUGCCUGCCCUCCAGGCCAAAGUUUUUAAGACAUGCAAAUAGGUCUCUUUCACUGGAAGACAAGACAGCUGCCUCUCCAUUGUACCCUGGGGGGUUAGCCAAAGUCAAUCCACAGGAGCACUACAGGAACUGUUUCUCAGUUUGCUAUAUAUAGCCUGCGAGACAUAAACCCCAUUGGCUUUCAAAGCUAGAUGUUUUGCAGACCCAUCUCUCCGGUGCAGGUCUUAAAGGAUGGGGUGCCAGAUGUGGGGUUCAAACAUUUUGCUUCCCAGAAAGCCGCUCAGAGUUGUGGGUUUCCUGCCUGACUGUGGGUUUACCACUCUUGGAGGAGUUUAUGGCGAGAUACUAUUCCAGUCUCUCCUACCCAUUUUGAUGUGAAUUUUGUUUUUUUUUUUUUUUUUUUUUUUUUUUAAAGCAGGCUCCACGUCCUAUGUGGGGCUUGAAGUCAUGACCCCAGGGUCAAGAGAUGCUCCAUUGACUAAGCCAGCCAGGGCCCCUUGAUGUGUGUUUUAUCCACAAAUGUAUAGGAGUCCAUCCAGUUAGUUUUCAGAUUUCUUUCCAAGAGAACUGCUCUAUAUGUAGCUGUAGAUUCCGUGCAUGUGAGAAGGAGGUGAGUUUAGGGUCCUCCAACGUUGCCAUCUUAAAUUAAACCAGAGGCUCAGGUUGCAAGAUCCAUUAAUUGGUAGCUGGAGAGAGUAAUACUUGUUAAGGAACCAGUAAGUAUUUUGAUGUAGGAGAAUUUAAAUAAAAAGGGAAAACUGAGGAGCAGAGAGCUAUUUUGUUUUGUUUUGUGAGAAGUUCUUUCUACACAAAACUUAUGGACUUGUACAAAUAGUCCACUGACAAUAUUUCCUACUCACUACUAUUGUGUAUUUGUAAUUUAGAAGAUAUACUACUGAUUGAGAAAUCCAAUAUACAUAUCAUGUGUUCUACAAAUAUAAGACUGAAGAUUCAAAUGAAGGCUUUGUGACUUAAAAAGGAUAAGCAAUAAUAUAAAAAACUUUGAGUUCUUUGUGUAAAAAAAUGUACUUUUUUUUUACAUAGCCUAAACCAAAUGAUUAAUAUAAAGACAAAAUAUAUCAUAAAACCAUGAAUACCAAGAGCCUUAAAAUGAUUAGAGUUGGGGUGACUGGGUGUUUCAGGCAGUUAAGCAUUUGCCUUGAGCUCAGGUCAUGGUCCUAGGGUCCUGGGAUGGAGCCUCACAUGGGGCUCCCUGUUCAGUGGGGAGUCUGCUUCUCUCUCUCCCUCUGUGCUCUCUCACUCUAUCUCUCAAGUAAGUAAGUAAGUAAAUAAAUAAAUCUUUAAAAAAAUUGUUAGAUUUGAUCUUAAAUCUAUUUCCAAAGCUACAGGGAAAGAAAAUUCCUAAAAAAAAAAAAAAAAAUCACUACAAAUCAGACAUUUCAAAGCACCUAAUCUUAGUCUGUGCUCUAGGAUUUGUUCUAUGUCUUUUGCUAAAUUGAAAGAGAUUUCAUUAAAAUUUAAGUUUGAUGUUUAAAAACUCUAUUCUCCCUAGAAGAUAUGUACUUGUACACUUUUUUUUUAUUAUAAGCCUCUUCUUUUUUGCUGUUCUAUAGAUUAAAAACAAGAAUAGAGCUGAUGCAGUGCCUUGUAAAUCUUACCCGUCAGUAAUGUUAAUAAACCCCAUCAGUUUUAUGGCAACCUAGUAAAUUAAGAGAACGUAAGAGGGAAAUGAAAUGGUGCUGCUCUUCCUUCCCCAGUUUAACAAGGAUAAGUAUCGACUCUAAAUAAAAGCAAAUCAGGUUGGGCAUUUGCAUGAGAAUUUACAUACCUUUUUAUAAUUACCUGAGUUGCAUAGACAGAUGGAAACUUCCAUCGUAAAAAUUCCAGUGCAUAUAACCAUCCCAAGUCUUCACAGUGAACAGUUCUAAAUCUAAUCUCAGCCACUAGUCCAAUCUAGGAAAUAGGGUAAAGCUGGGUAGGGAAGGCACCAGAAUGGUCCAUGAUUUGAUACAUAUUUUAAAUCUCAAAUCCCACAGAAAUGUUUCUUGCAGUCCUAAUAGCUGGAGCCACUCUGCGAGAGAUCUGGGUGCAGUGACAGUAAAAGCAGCCAGAGAUUGUUUCAGUAAACACAUGCAAACAGGAUGGCACACUCACAAAGGCAUAGUUUUCAAAAAAGACAGCAUGUGGGACAAAUAAAAAAGCUGCACAAAAGUAUGUCAAGAGUGAGAAGGAUUAUGAGCUGGAAGGAAUAUACUUUAAUUUACCCUUUCUUCUCCCUUUUAAGACAUCUGUACAGGCAGGUGCAAAGUACCACGAUGCCAACAACUGUAAGAAACCGGGAAAGGACAUAGAACUCUGAGAAUGGAUUGCCAAGACUCAAAAUUUAGCAGCAGAAAUAAAUAAAACUAUUUACAAAAUGUUUCCAAAUUUACAAUUUACAAAUGAAGAAGGAAAUAAAUGGAAAUAUCAUUACCUUUACACUGAGGAGGGCGACUACUCCACUUGUUUUUCUCAAUACAAGAGCCAGACAUUAAAAACCAAAACACUGAACAAAGAGAGAAUCUCAAAAGUAGGAAGAGAGAAGAGAGUCAUCAUCAAACAAGGGGGGAUCCUCAAUAAUAAUAUCAACAGAUUUCUUAUCAGAAGCUUUGGAGGCCAGAAGACACUGGGAGAGUAUACUCAAAAAAGUGCAAGAAGAAAAAAAACCAUCAACCAAUAAUCAUCUAUUUAGCAAAACUAUCUUUCAAAAGUGAAGAGAAAACUAAGACUUUAUAAAUAAACAAAAGCUGAAAGAGUUAGUGACCACUACAUAUCCCCUGCAAGCAAUAAGAAAUGCUCAAGGGAGUCCUGCAAGAUGAAGUGAAAAGAUAUGAGAAAGUAUUUUGAGCCAUAUGGAGAAAUAAAUAUGAGCAAUUAUAACAGUUUAUAUUAUUGUAACAAUGGCUUAUGAGCAAAUACAUGAGCAAUUAUAACAGUUUAUAUUAUUGUAACAAUGGCUUAUGAUUGCAAUUUUUUGUUUUCUUUAUAACUUAAGAGACUGAUACAUUGAAAGAAAAAAAAAAGGAAAUAUAAAACAGUAUUACUGAAACUUUAGUUUUUAACUCCAAAUCUUGUUUUCUACAUAACUUAAAGGACUAAUUUAAAGAACUAUCAGUUUAUGUUUUGGGACACACGAUGUAUAAAGAUGUAAUGUUGUGUAAUAAACAACAAAAUGGAGUGGGGAUGGAGUUAUAAAGGAGCAGAGUUUUUGUAUGUUAUGAAAUUAAACUGCUAUAAAUUCAAAUUAGAGUGUUAUAAUUUCAGGAUGUUAAAUAUAAUCCCCAAGAUAACCACAUAGAAAACAGUCAUAGAAUAUACACAAGAGGAGGUACACCUGGGGGCUCAGUGGUUGAGCGUCUGCUUUUGGCUCGGGGUGUGAUCCUGGGGACCUGGAAUUGAGUCCCAUGUCGGGCUCCCUGCAUGGAGCCUGCUUCUCCCUCUGCCUGUGUCUCUGCCUGUGUCUCUCUAUAUAUAUCGCAGGAAUAAAUACAUAAAAUUAAAAAAAAAAGACAGAGAUUGGUAGAAUGGAUGAAAAC